UACAGAGGUCCCGAGCGUUGUUCGGAUUUACUGGGCGUAAAGCGCGUUAAGGCGGUCGGCAAAGUUGGUUGUGAAAUCUCAGGGCUCAACCCUGAAAUUGCGACCAAUACUGGUCGACUAGAGUGUGAGAGAGGAAGGUGGAAUUCCCGGUGUAGUAGUGAAAUGCGUAGAUAUCGGGAGGAACACCAGUGGCGAAGGCGGCCUUCUGGCUCAUAACUGACGCUGUAGCGCGAAAGCGUGGGGAGCGAACCGG
rnacentral:rRNA from 1 species